rnacentral:rRNA from 1 species
CGGACGGGUGAGUAACACGUGGAUAACCUGCCUAUAAGACUGGGAUAACUUCGGGAAACCGGAGCUAAUACCGGAUAAUAUAUUGAACCGCAUGGUUCAAUGGUGAAAGACGGUUUUGCUGUCACUUAUAGAUGGAUCCGCGCCGCAUUAGCUAGUUGGUAAGGUAACGGCUUACCAAGGCAACGAUGCGUAGCCGACCUGAGAGGGUGAUCGGCCACACUGGAACUGAGACACGGUCCAGACUCCUACGGGAGGCAGCAGCC